AUACUACUCCCUCCGUUCCAAAUUACUCGUCGUAGAAAUGGAUGUAUCUAAAACUAAAAUACAUCUAGAUACAUCCAUAUCUGCGACAAGUAAUUCAGAACGGAGGGAGUAUUAA
rfam:Triticum urartu cultivar G1812 contig554780, whole genome shotgun sequence.